CUCUGAAACUACAAGUACAAUCGACCUCAAAAUUUGCAGUCAGCAGGGCAUACAUGUACUAAAGGUUUAUAAAAAAACUUGGUGCAGAUAUCUCUCAAGAGCUUUUCCUAGAGAAAAGAAAUGGCAAUGCCGUAAAAAUCGCUUGCUAGGUCCGUAAAUCUCAGUAAAAACCUACAAUAAAAUGUCCGCUCCGAGAUUGAAAUACUAAUCUGUGUUACAAACAGGUGCUGAAAAAUGUACAUUAUCAGAAAAUAAUCAAUAAAUGUGUUUUAAAGUUACACCGGAUCAAUUAAAUCCAAAACAUGCACGGCCCGUGAACUGUGAUGAAAAUGUCAAUUUCCUACAAUGACAAAAGAAAUUACAUUGUGUACAUUCCGUCUCUAUACAUGUUGUCUGUUCAACAUCCCGACCUAAAGAGAAAUAAAAAUACUAAGUUUUCGUUAUUAUAAACCCAAGUCACGUGAUGUCUCCUAAAUCUGGCGCGCGCGCUGUACCUAAAAUAAAAUAAAAACUUUCCAAACUAAACAUGAAACUUCUCCGGUAACAAUAAUAUAGACCCCAUACAGAAACAAACAAACAAACAAACAAAAAAACUCAAAUGACCCCCCC
rnacentral:lncRNA from 1 species